rnacentral:rRNA from 1 species
AUGAGGAAACUGAGUGUCAGGUAGCGGCGGACGGGUGAGUAACGCGUGGGAAACCUACCUUGUAGAGGGGGAUAGCCUCGGGAAACCGGGAUUAAUACCCCAUAAAGCUUACGCUUCGCAUGGAGCAGUAAGUCAAAGCGAUCAAGCGCUACAAGAUGGCCCCGCGUCCCAUUAGCUAGUUGGUGAGAUAACAGCCCACCAAGGCGACGAUGGGUAGCCGACCUGAGAGGGUGAUCGGCCACACUGGGACUGAGACACGGCCCAGACUCCUACGGGAGGCAGCAGUGGGGAAUAUUGCGCAAUGGGGGGAACCCUGACGCAGCAACGCCGCGUGAGCGAAGAAGGCCUUCGGGUCGUAAAGCUCUGUCUAGAGGGAUGAUAGUGACAGUACCUCUGGAGGAAGCCCCGGCUAACUACGUGCCAGCAGCCGCGGUAAUACGUAGGGGGCAAGCGUUGUCCGGAUUUACUGGGCGUAAAGGGCGCGUAGGCGGUAGAAUAAGUCAGAUGUGAAAGUCCAGGGCUCAACCCUGGAAUUGCAUUUGAAACUGUACUACUUGAGU